rnacentral:rRNA from 1 species
GCAUAUCAAUAAGCGGAGGAAAAGAAACCAACAGGGAUUGCCCCAGUAACGGCGAGUGAAGCGGCAAGAGCUCAAAUUUGAAAGCUGGCUCCUUCGGGGUCCGCAUUGUAAUUUGCAGAGGAUGCUUCGGGAGCGGCCCCCAUCUAAGUGCCCUGGAACGGGCUGUCAUAGAGGGUGAGAAUCCCGUAUGGGAUGGGGUGUCCGCGCCCGUGUGAAGCUCCUUCGACGAGUCGAGUUGUUUGGGAAUGCAGCUCUAAAUGGGUGGUAAAUUUCAUCUAAAGCUAAAUAUUGGCCGGAGACCGAUAGCGCACAAGUAGAGUGAUCGAAAGAUGAAAAGCACUUUGAAAAGAGAGUUAAAAAGCACGUGAAAUUGUUGAAAGGGAAGCGUUUGCGACCAGACUCGCCUACGGGGUUCAGCCUACCUUCGGGUAGGUGUACUUCCCCGUGGGCGGGCCAGCGUCGGUUUGGGCGGCCGGUCAAAGGCCCUCGGAAUGUAACGCCUCUCGGGGCGUCUUAUAGCCGAGGGUGCCAUGCGGCCUGCCCGGACCGAGGAACGCGCUUCGGCUCGGACGCUGGCAUAAUGGUCGUAAACGACCCGUCUUGAAACACGGACCAAGGAGUCUAACAUCUAUGCGAGUGUUCGGGUGUCAAACCCGUGCGCGCAGUGAAAGCGAACGGAGGUGGGAACCCUUUGGGUGCACCAUCGACCGAUCCUGAUGUCUUCGGAUGGAUUUGAGUAAGAGCAUAGCUGUUGGGACCCGAAAGAUGGUGAACUAUGCCUGAAUAGGGCGAAGCCAGAGGAAACUCUGGUGGAGGCUCGCAGCGGUUCUGACGUGCAAAUCGAUCGUCAAAUUUGGGUAUAGGGGCGAAAGACUAAUCGAACCAUCUAGUAGCUGGUUCCUGCCGA